AAAGUAGCAAUACUUUGGUGGCGACCGGCGCACGGGUGAGUAACGCGUAUGCAACCCAUCUACCAGAGGGGAAUAACCCGGCGAAAGUCGGACUAAUACCGCAUAAAACAGGGACACCGCAUGGUGAUAUUUGUUAAAGAAAUUCGCUGAUAGAUGGGCAUGCGUUCCAUUAGGUAGUUGGUGAGGUAACGGCUCACCAAGCCGACGAUGGAUAGGGGAACUGAGAGGUUGGUCCCCCACACUGGUACUGAGACACGGACCAGACUCCUACGGGAGGCAGCAGUGAGGAAUAUUGGUCAAUGGGCGAGAGCCUGAACCAGCCAAGUCGCGUGAAGGAAGAAGGAUCUAUGGUUCGUAAACUUCUUUUGCAGGGGAAUAAAGUGCAGGACGUGUCCUGUUUUGUAUGUACCCUGAGAAUAAGGAUCGGCUAACUCCGUGCCAGCAGCCGCGGUAAUACGGAGGAUCCGAGCGUUAUCCGGAUUUAUUGGGUUUAAAGGGUGCGUAGGUGGUUUGAUAAGUCAGCGGUGAAAGUUUGCAGCUUAACUGUAAAAAUGCCGUUGAAACUGUCGGACUUGAGUGUAAAUGAGGUAGGCGGAAUGCGUGGUGUAGCGGUGAAAUGCUUAGAUAUCACGAAGAACUCCGAUUG
rnacentral:rRNA from 1 species